CCUCCCCUCUCCAUGAGACUCCCAUGCACAUGCUAAAGCCAGCAGUGGCCUACAUCAUAUAUCUCUAGGCUGGGCUCCGAUACCCUAUACUUGGCUUCCUCUUCUAAGGUACAGGAAGUUCUGCCAUUUUGCAUUCUUAAUUAGUCACUCCUUUAGUCUGUCAGUUAGUUGGUAUAGCAGAUUGAAGAGUAGUCCCCAAAAGAUAUGUCCGCAUCCUAAUCCCCAGAACCUGUGACUAUUACCUUAUUUGGAAAAAGGGUCUCUAUGAAUGUAAUUAAGUUCAGGAUCUUGAGAUUAGGAUAUUAUCCUUGAUUAUCUGUGGAUCAUAAAUCCUAUGACAAAUGUCCUUAUAAGAAUGAGGCAAAGAGAUAUUUGAAAUGGACAGAAGAGGAGGAAGUAAUGUGACCAUGGAGACAGAGAUUCGAGUGGUAUGGCUACAAGCCAAAGAAUGCCAACAUCUGCCAGAAGCUGGAAGAGUCAAGGAACGGAUUGUCCCCUAGAGCCUCUAGAAGGAGUGUGGCCCUACUGACACCUUGAUUUCAGCCCAGGGAUCUGGUUUUUGAACUUCUGGCCUCCAAAACUGUGGAAGAAUACAUUUCUGCCAGUUUAAAGCCACAGUUUGUGGUAAUUCAUUACAGCAGCCAUAGGAAAUGAAUAUGGUUGGGUACUUCUUUAGUUGUUCCUUCCUGAUGGGAUUUACUGGCUCCUUCAGGGAACUUCCAAAUGCUGGAAUGCCCCAGGCUCAGUCCUCAGAGCUUUCUUUGACUAUUCUCUCUCUUUGUGACCUCAUCCAUUCACUUGGCAUCAAAAUACCACUUAUUUGCUAAAACUCUCCACAUUUUAUCUCCUCCCAGACCCUUCUCAUGGAGCCCAAACAUCUUCACAGAUUGCAAGUUCCAUGAGGAAGCAGGCAGAAAGGGCCCUUACCCUGGGCUCACCUGUAGAUGGCCACGCUCUUGCUCUACUCUGGCCACACUCCAUUCCACACACUGAGAAGUAACCGGGCCCAAGAGGAUGGAUCCAUGGGGAGCCCAUUCUCCCAUUCUAGAUUAUAAAUCAGGGAUUUCCUUCUGUCACAUCAAAAUGUACCUGUCCAAUGGCUCUCCAUUAGCCUAGGAGCACCUGGAGGAUAGGACCAUUCUUCAUCCAUCCUCAAGUUCCUACCAUGCUCACUGUUUGCCCCAUGCUCACAUCAGAGAUCUACCCCUCAAAUCAGAUGGGGCUCCAUGAUGGCUGAAACAGGGCAGAAAGGAAGGACAGAGAACACAGCAAGGAGAUCUGCAGCUCCCUGAGCAGCCAGAGGCUUCUUCCCCACUUUUAAAGCCCAGGUUGGGUCCUGACGACCUGUGAGCCCUCCAAGGGAGGCUCAGUCCAUGCACGCUGGCGGCAGACUGAGGCAGGCCUGUGUCCUGAGGUCCUGCAGCGUGGCACUUGUGGCUGGGAGGCCACAAUCAAGGCAGCUUCGUGAGAACAAGAACAGGUGGCAGGCCUGCAACUCAAAUCCCUUUCUCUAACACAUGGCCAGGAAAGAGACUAUGGGCACUGACCAAAGAGUGCUCUCGAAAUCUUCUCCUUUUACUCAGCUCCCAAAGAUGAAUUUGUCAAAUAGCUACUUAAAAAAGCAAAACAAAACAGAAAACAAACAUGUGUUUCCAUUUCAACUACAAUCGGCAGUUGGUAAUUUUUAGAAAAAGACUUGAGUUGCUGUUAAAUUUGUCUCUUUUAUCAGG